CCUACGGGUGGCAGCAGUGGGGAAUCUUGCGCAAUGGGCGGAAGCCUGACGCAGCAACGCCGCGUGCGGGAUGAAGGCCUUCGGGUUGUAAACUUCUUUAAUCGGGGACGAAAAAAUGACGGUACCUGAAGAAGAAGCCCCGGCUAACUACGUGCCAGCAGCCGCGGUAAUACGUAGGGGGCAAGCGUUAUCCGGAAUUAUUGGGCGUAAAGGGCGUGUAGGCGGGUUAUUAAGUCAGAUGUGAAAUCCCAAGGCUCAACCUUGGAGCUGCAUCUGAAACUGGUGAUCUUGAGUGCUGGAGAGGAAAGUGGAAUUCCCAGUGUAGCGGUGAAAUGCGUAGAUAUUGGGAGGAACACCAGUGGCGAAGGCGGCUUUCUGGGCCACGACUGACGCUGAGGCGCGAAAGCUUGGGGAGCGAACAGGAUUAGAUACCCGUGUAGUC
rnacentral:rRNA from 1 species